rnacentral:misc_RNA from 1 species
GGAAACUAACAAAAAUAAAAUUCCUCUUCCUUUAACAAUAGCCAUACGAAGGAGGUAUCUACAUUUUAUGUCCUUGAAAGGAUAAUAAGAGUGAUAAUAAUUUCCUAGCAUGUUCCAUAAUUCUAUAUAUUGCUAUUUUCCCAGUGAUUUAAGUUAGGAAAAUUUAGCUUGACCAUUUUGUAAAUUUAAAAGAAGGAAGGUAAAAAUUAAAGAGAGAGAGAGAGA